rnacentral:tRNA from 1 species
UCGUUAGCUCAGUUGGUAGAGCAGAGGACUUUUAAUCCUAAGGUCGGGGGUUCGAGCCCCCCACG